GAUGAACGCUGGCGGCGUGCCUAAUACAUGCAAGUCGAGCGAACGGACGAGAAGCUUGCUUCUCUGAUGUUAGCGGCGGACGGGUGAGUAACACGUGGAUAACCUACCUAUAAGACUGGGAUAACUUCGGGAAAGCGGAGCUAAUACCGGAUAAUAUUUUGAACCGCAUGGUUCAAAAGUGAAAGACGGUCUUGCUGUCACUUAUAGAUGGAUCCGCGCUGCAUUAGCUAGUUGGUAAGGUAACGGCUUACCAAGGCAACGAUGCAUAGCCGACCUGAGAGGGUGAUCGGCCACACUGGAACUGAGACACGGUCCAGACUCCUACGGGAGGCAGCAGUAGGGAAUCUUCCGCAAUGGGCGAAAGCCUGACGGAGCAACGCCGCGUGAGUGAUGAAGGUCUUCGGAUCGUAAAACUCUGUUAUUAGGGAAGAACAUAUGUGUAAGUAACUGUGCACAUCUUGACGGUACCUAAUCAGAAAGCCACGGCUAACUACGUG
rnacentral:rRNA from 1 species